GUAAAGUUUGAUCCUUGCUUAGAACAUUGCUCAUUAAUGAAUCAUAUAUGUAUACUUUUAUUUAAAAAUGAUGAAGUGCAAUUUAUAAAAUUAAUUAUUUGAGAAAUCAAGAAUUAGUUAAUUAAUUUGGAGUUAACCAAUUUUGUGCCAGCAGUUGCGGUUAAACAAUUGACUCAGUGAUGUUUUUUGGGAGAGCAUUAUAGUUUAAUUAUCUUUAGUUAAAUAAUUUAUUAUUAGGUGGAAUUUUAAUUUUUAUUAAUUAUAUGUUUAUUUAUUAUGUGAAAGCUAAUUAUUAAACUAGGAUUAGAUACCCUAUUAUUUUAGUUGUAAUUAUAUCCUUAAGACUAUUAGUUGAUCUUUAAAUUAAAAGGAUUUGGCGGUAAUUUAAUCUUAUCAGAGGAACCUGUUUAUUAAUUGAUGAACCACGAGGUGUUUAACUUUUAUUUUGCUUGUAUACCUCUAUUUAUUGAAAAUCUUAUUAGGGUAAUUUUCUUUAAUCAUUAAUUUGAUUUAUUUUAGGUCAAGGUGCAGCAGUAUAAAAGUUGGAAUGGGUUACAAUUUUAUGAUAAUUGGAUUAAUUAUGUGUGGUAAUUAUGAAAGAGGAUUUGAAAGUAAUAAGAAUUAGCUUAUUCUUGUGAUUAAGGCUCUAAUUUAUGUACAUAUCGCCCGUCACUCUCGUUUAUAAGACGAGAUAAGUCGUAACAAAGUAGACUUACCGGAAGGUGAGUCUGGUGGUUU
rnacentral:ncRNA from 1 species